GACGAACGCUGGCGGCGUGCUUAACACAUGCAAGUCGAACGGAAAGGCCCUGCUUUUUUGGGGUGCUCGAGUGGCGAACGGGUGAGUAACACGUGAGUAACCUGCCCUUGACUUUGGGAUAACUUCAGGAAACUUGGGCUCAUACCGGAUAGGAUCUCCUGCUGCAUGGUGGGGGUUGGAAAGUUUCGGCGGUUGGUGAUGGACUCGCGGCUUAUCAGCUUGUUGGUGGGGUAGUGGCUUACCAAGGCUUUGACGGGUAGCCGGCCUGAGAGGGUGACCGGACAAACUGGGAUUGAGAUACGGCACAGACUACUACGGGAGGGAGCAGUGGGGAAGAGUGCACAAGGGGCGGAAGCAUGAUGCAGCAAAGCAGCGUGCGGGAUGACGGCCUGCGGGUUGUAUACCGAUUUCGCCUGUGACGAAGCGUGAGUGACGGUAACGGGUAAAGAAGCACCGGCUAACUACGUG
rnacentral:rRNA from 1 species